AUGGAGCGGGGCCUUUGAGCACCCAGCUUUCUUUCGAGGCCCUGUAAUUAAAAUGAGUCCACUUUAAAUCCUUUAAUGAGGAUCCAUUUGAGGGCAAGUCUGAUGCCAGCAGCCAUGGUAAUUCCAGCUCCGA
rnacentral:ncRNA from 1 species